rnacentral:misc_RNA from 1 species
AAAAAUCAAAACAACAAAAUACUUUAAAGAAUUUGUUCGAAAUACAAAGAAAUUAGUACACAUUUAUUGCACAUAUAACAUCAUAGGUCUGAGUUGGUACUUAUCAUUAUAUUACUAAUGAUAUUCAGCUUAAUUUUCCGUUGAAACAGAUAAUUUAUCAUCAUUUUAGUGUAGCAAGUUGGUUGUUUUUGUUUUUAUUUUCAACACAUCGGCGCAAAUUUUGUCACUUGAAUUUUUUUCUUUUCUUUUUUGUUUAUUUGAUAUAAAUUACAAGCUUAAUGCCAAUAAAAUGGGGGGAGAGAAAUCAUGAGAAAAAAACAAAAUCAGUCAAAUUACGUUGUGAAAGUCGCACUAUGUUCUCAAAUCAAGCGCGCAGACCUCUUGACCAGGAUGUUUUCUUCUUAUAUGACAAUAAACGUAGGAAGUUUGUUUGCUCCUUAAUUCACAAUAAGGACAUUGAAAUCUUGGUGGAUGUCCGCAAUCGUAGUUAACAUGUCUGUUUCUGUUCCCUUUGCAUGUAAAUCCACGUUUGCAUUUCGGACAAUGAUAUAUACCCUUUUCACUUUCCGGAAAACAACUUGACAUCGUUCUAGCUAAACGAUCAUUUUUCUUCGUAUUACAUAACGCUUCGCUAGAUGCAGAGGACCCUGAAAAAUGAGCAAAAAUUUUUAUCAGUAAAUGUGAUCGAGAAGAAUAUAUCUAUCUACAAUUAUUUUGCAAGUCGAAAAUUUGUCUUUCACCUUCAAAAAGAAUACAAUUUAAAUUUUCAAUUAUUCCACUGUUUCUAGUAUUUAAUGAUCAACUAAUUCGCUUUUAUUCAAAUUUACAUAAAUAAUUCAAUACAAAUAUUUUUGUAUAUUUUUUUUUUUAAAUAUAUACAUGACAUGCGAAAAUAGGGGUGUUAUGUUGUACAUUUUUUAGUCGAUGUCAUUUAUUUUGAUUUUCUAUAUACAAUUUUUCUUUAUUAAAUUUUACAUGGAAGUUUUCCCUAAAUCAGUGGAUACGCUUGUCAAAUCUAUGCAGUAUACGGCUACUC